AGUAUGUGGUUAAUUCGAUGCAACGCGAAGAACCUUACCUGGUCUUGACAUCCCGGAGACCCUUAGGAAACUAGGGGUGCUUCCAUCUGGAAGAAUCUGGAGACAGGUGCUGCAUGGCUGUCGUCAGCUCGUGUCGUGAGAUGUUGGGUUAAGUCCCGCAACGAGCGCAACCCUUGCCUUUAGUUGCCAGCAGUUCGGCUGGGCACUCUAAAGGGACUGCCGGUGUUAAACCGGAGGAAGGUGGGGAUGACGUCAAGUCCUCAUGGCCCUUAUGACCAGGGCUACACACGUACUACAAUGGCCGAUACAAAGGGCAGCGACACUGCGAGGUGAAGCCAAUCCCGUAAAAUCGGUCUCAGUCCGGAUUGGAGUCUGCAACUCGACUCCAUGAAGUUGGAAUCGCUAGUAAUCGUGGAUCAGCAUGCCACGGUGAAUACGUUCCCGGGCCUU
rnacentral:rRNA from 1 species